CCUACGGGAGGCAGCAGUAGGGAAUCUUGCGCAAUGGGCGAAAGCCUGACGCAGCCAUGCCGCGUGAAUGAUGAAGGUCUUAGGAUUGUAAAAUUCUUUCACCGGGGAGGAUAAUGACGGUACCCGGAGAAGAAGCCCCGGCUAACUUCGUGCCAGCAGCCGCGGUAAUACGAAGGGGGGCUAGCGUUGCUCGGAAUUACUGGGCGUAAAGGGCGCGUAGGCGGAUAGUUUAGUCAGAGGUGAAAGCCCAGGGCUCAACCUUGGAACUGCCUUUGAUACUGGCUAUCUUGAGUUCGGGAGAGGUGAGUGGAAUGCCGAGUGUAGAGGUGAAAUUCGUAGAUAUUCGGCGGAACACCAGUGGCGAAGGCGACUCACUGGCCCGAUACUGACGCUGAGGCGCGAAAGCGUGGGGAGCAAACAGGAUUAGAUACCCUGGUAGUCCACGCUGUAAACGAUGAGUGCUAGUUGUCGGCAUGCAUGCAUGUCGGUGACGCAGCUACGACAUUAAGACGACCGUCCGCCGUCGGGGUAGGUACGGGUCGGCGAACGUAAGUUAAACGUUAACAAAGUAGUUAAGUUAGUACGGCGUUGGAGACGUUGCCGACGGACGACCGACCGAGGGGAGGUUAGG
rnacentral:rRNA from 1 species